AUUUUACGAAGUAAAAAAUAUAGUUACUGUCAACCUUGCUGAAGCAGAAAAGUGAUACAAGUUUGAUUGUACGAACAAUAUUUCAAUGACAUUUGAUAUCAGUUUGUAAAGUAUCAGAUAUUAGUUGUGAGGUGACUGCUACGUAGGGUAGAGUACGUAUUUGUAAUCUCUUACUGAUUACUAAAGCAGCUUGAUAUUUUACACCAGGUAAAAUUUGUGCAAACAUUAAAGUUCUGCAAUAUAAAAGAAUCUCUUACUGAUAUGUUACACCAGGUGACUGCACUUUACAUCUAUUCCUAUAUUUUCUGAUUUAUUGCAGAGAAUGUCAAAUAAAUGAACCAGCAACAAGAUUCAAGAAAUACAAUUCAAUCAGUAGUAUUCAUUUAAAUCCUUACAGUGACAGCUCCCCACAUGUGUUCCAAUUUAGCUUCUUCGAUGUAUGUCCAUGAGUGUACUCGCAAAGGACACAUAUUA
rnacentral:lncRNA from 1 species